AGCUCAGUUGGUAGAGCAUCUGACUUUUAAUCAGAGUGUCGAAGGUUCGAGUCCUUCA
rnacentral:tRNA from 1 species